rnacentral:rRNA from 1 species
UUGGGAAUCUUGCACAAUGGGGGAAACCCUGAUGCAGCGACGCCGCGUGGAGGAUGACGGGUCUAGGCCUGUAAACUCCUUUUAUCGGGAAAGACUUAGGACGGUACCCGAUGAAUAAGCACCGGCUAACUACGUGCCAGCAGCCGCGGUAAGACGUAGGGUGCGAGCGUUGUCCGGAUUUACUGGGCGUAAAGAGCGCGUAGGCGGAUCGGUAAGUGUGAAGUGAAAUCUCCAGGGCUCAACCCGGAAACUGCUUCGCAUACUGUCGAUCUGGAGGAACGGAGAGGUGAGUGGAAUUCCUGGUGUACCGGUGAAAUGGGUAGAUAUCAGGAGGAACACCCAUGGCGAAGGCAGCUCACUGGCCGUUAUCUGACGCUGAGGCGCGAAAGCGUGGGUAGCAAACAGG